UGGUGUCAUAGACAGUCCUCAAUUAGGUC
rnacentral:piRNA from 1 species